rnacentral:rRNA from 1 species
AUGGGCGCAGAGGUGAUCGACGCAGACUACCGCGACCCGGUGGGCGUCGUGCUCUUCAACAACUCGGAGGCGGAUUUUGCUGUGAAGCCCGGCGACCGCGUCACACAGAUGAUUGUCUAG